GAGAGGAGAAAAAAAAAAAUUAAAGAAGAGAAAAGACUCUAAUUUGAAAGGCUUUGAAAGAAAUCUAGCUCAUCAGUAGAGGGAAAAAGAGAGUGAUUAUGGGUAGACUACCUUGCUGCGAUAAGCUUGGAGUGAAGAAAGGUCCAUGGACUCCUGAAGAAGAUAUCAUGUUGGUAUCAUACAUUCAAGAACAUGGUCCUGGGAAUUGGAGAGCUGUGCCCACUAACACAGGGUUGCUUAGAUGCAGUAAGA
rnacentral:misc_RNA from 1 species